rnacentral:rRNA from 1 species
AUUGAACGCUGGCGGCAUGCCUUACACAUGCAAGUCGAACGGUAACGCGGGGCAACCUGGCGACGAGUGGCGAACGGGUGAGUAAUACAUCGGAACAUGCCCAUUAGUGGGGGAUAACGUACCGAAAGGUACGCUAAUACCGCAUACGUCCUACGGGAGAAAGGGGGGAUCGCAAGACCUCUCGCUAUUGGAAUGGCCGAUAUCAGAUUAGCUAGUUGGUGAGGUAAAGGCUCACCAAGGCGACGAUCUGUAGCUGGUCUGAGAGGACGACCAGCCACACUGGGACUGAGACACGGCCCAGACUCCUACGGGAGGCAGCAGUGGGGAAUUUUGGACAAUGGGGGCAACCCUGAUCCAGCCAUGCCGCGUGUGCGAAGAAGGCCUUCGGGUUGUAAAGCACUUUUGUCAGGAACGAAAAGUUUUGCUCUAAUACGGCAAAGCGAUGACGGUACCUGAAGAAUAAGCACCGGCUAACUACGUGCCAGCAGCCGCAGUAA